rnacentral:rRNA from 1 species
GAGUAACACGUGGAUAACCUACCUAUAAGACUGGGAUAACUUCGGGAAACCGGAGCUAAUACCGGAUAAUAUUUUGAACCGCAUGGUUCAAAAGUAAAAGACGGUCUUGCUGUCACUUAUAGAUGGAUCCGCGCUGCAUUAGCUAUUUGGUAAGGUAACGGCUUACCAAGGCAACGAUGCAUAGCCGACCUGAGAGGGUGAUCGGCCACACUGGAACUGAGACACGGUCCAGACUCCUACGGGAGGCAGCAGUAGGGAAUCUUCCGCAAUGGGCGAAAGCCUGACGGAGCAACGCCGCGUGAGUGAUGAAGGUCUUCGGAUCGUAAAACUCUGUUAUUAGGGAAGAACAUAUGUGUAAGUAACUGUGCACAUCUUGACGGUACCUAAUCAGAAAGCCACGGCUAACUACGUGCCAGCAGCCGCGGUAAUACGUAGGUGGCAAGCGUUAUCCGGAAUUAUUGGGCGUAAAGCGCGCGUAGGCGGUUUUUUAAGUCUGAUGUGAAAGCCCACGGCUCAACCGUGGAGGGUCAUUGGAAACUGGAAAACUUGAGUGCAGAAGAGGAAAGUGGAAUUCCAUGUGUAGCGGUGAAAUGCGCAGAGAUAUGGAGGAACACCAGUGGCGAAGGCGACUUUCUGGUCUGUAACUGACGCUGAUGUGCGAAAGCGUGGGGAUCAAACAGGAUUAGAUACCCUGGUAGUCCACGCCGUAAACGAUGAGUGCUAAGUGUUAGGGGGUUUCCGCCCCUUAGUGCUGCAGCUAACGCAUUAAGCACUCCGCCUGGGGAGUACGACCGCAAGGUUGAAACUCAAAGGAAUUGACGGGGACCCGCACAAGCGGUGGAGCAUGUGGUUUAAUUCGAAGCAACGCGAAGAACCUUACCAAAUCUUGACAUCCUUUGACAACUCUAGAGAUAGAGCCUUCCCCUUCGGGGGACAAAGUGACAGGUGGUGCAUGGUUGUCGUCAGCUCGUGUCGUGAGAUGUUGGGUUAAGUCCCGCAACGAGCGCAACCCUUAAGCUUAGUUGCCAUCAUUAAGUUGGGCACUCUAAGUUGACUGCCGGUGACAAACCGGAGGAAGGUGGGGAUGACGUCAAAUCAUCAUGCCCCUUAUGAUUUGGGCUACACACGUGCUACAAUGGACAAUACAAAGGGCAGCGAAACCGCGAGGUCAAGCAAAUCCCAUAAAGUUGUUCUCAGUUCGGAUUGUAGUCUGCAACUCGACUACAUGAAGCUGGAAUCGCUAGUAAUCGUAGAUCAGCAUGCUACGGUGAAUACGUUCCCGGGUCUUGUACACACCGCCCGUCACACCACGAGAGUUUGUAACACCCGAAGCCGGUGGAGUAACCUUUUAGGAGCUAGCCGUCGAAGGUGGGACAAAUGAUUGGGGUGAAGUCGUAACAAGGUAGCCGUAUCGGAAGGUGCGGCUGGAUCACCU